CCCUUAGAUGUUCUGGGCCGCACGCGCGCUACACUGACGAAGUCAGCGAGCAUGUCCUACGCCGACAGGUGCGGGGAAUCUUGUCAAACUUCGUCGUGAUGGGAUUGAUUAUUGAAAUUCUUGAUCAUCAACGAGGAAUUCCUAGUAAGCGCAAGUCAGCAGCUUGCGUUGAUUACGUCCCUGCCCUUUGUACACACCGCCCGUCGCUACUACCGAUUGAAUGAUCCGAUGAAUAUCAUGGAUUGAGGAUGCAAGUAGGUUCACCUAUCUUCAUCUUCGAGAAGUGAAGUAAAUCUUAUCAUUUAGAGGAAGGAGAAGUCGUAACA
rnacentral:rRNA from 1 species